UUGUAAUAAAUCUAUUAAUUCUGCCUCUCUUUUGAGAAUCUAAGUCCUUCACUUAACCAAAGUUUAGCAAGCAUGCCUAUAGGGUUUUCAAAUAAUUCUUUUCGAGUUUUAUUGUCAGAUAACUUUCUUAAAUCAAUAUAUAUCAUGUCUUUAGCACAUCGUCUUAAUACUUGGGCAAGCCUUAGGGUAAUGGUUAUAAACUGAACCAGUUUCCACUAAUAAUUAAAACCAGCAGGCUUGCC
rnacentral:lncRNA from 1 species